CCCGUCUUUAUAUCACGGUUUCAACGUAAAAUAAAUGUUCCAAGGCGCUUUACAAGUCUUAUGAAAUAAAACCGACGCUGAGCCACAUUGGUGAUACAAGGUUGGAUGAUCAAACACUUGGCCAAAGAGACGACAACAUUGAGCUGACAGCGAGGAGCCACGAUUUACUGCCAAAUCCCAGCGAGUCACUGACCCAGAUAAAUCAGGCUCAGCAAAAAAUGCUUCAUUUUAUGGGUUGAUUGCAAGCGUGAAUGAUGGAUCCGACCACAACAGGGUUUAUCGUUGCCAUUGCCAUGAUACAGAGAAGGCGCAGAGAAAUGGAAGAGGAAUAGUUGGUGCAGCAAUCUCUAACAGCUGCUGAACAGCCACCAUGUGAAGAGAUCCCAGCCGGAGGUGCCCUCAGAAUGUGCGGGAGGUACAGGAAGCUCAGAGUCUAUCAUCCUCGAUGCCAUUUCCUACAGAUG